GAUGAAGAACGUAGCGAAAUGCGAUAAGUAAUGUGAAUUGCAGAAUUCAGUGAAUCAUCGAAUCUUUGAACGCACAUUGCGCCCGCCAGUAUUCUGGCGGGCAUGCCUGUUCGAGCGUCAUUUCAACCAUCAAGCCCCAGGCUUGGGUUGGGGACCUGCGGCUGCCGCAGGCCCUGAAAACCAGUGGCGGGCUCGCUGUCACACCGGGCGUAGUAGAUUUUAUCUCGCUCAGGGCGUGCUGCGGGUUCCGGCCGUUAAAAAGCCUUUUUUACCCAAGGUUGACCACGGAUCAGGUAGGAAGACCCGCUGAACUUAAGCAUAUCAAUAAGCGGAGGA
rnacentral:misc_RNA from 1 species